ensembl:lncRNA
AUGAAGUCCUGUUUGAUGGAGGAGGAGAAUAUGAAAGCAGACCCUGCCUUCUCAGCUCUUAGGACGAAUUAUCCUAGAGGAAAGGAGCUUAUGGGCUCCAAACAGGAAGGAAAGAUCGGGAGCUGGAGAAGCUCACUACCUGACGUGUUCAGUUCAUGCUACUCACAGGUGUGGCAAUUCUGCACUGACCCACAAAAAAAGUACACAUAUCACAUUGUUAAAAGAUUUAUUUACUUAUUCGAAAGGCAGAGCUACAGAGGCAGAGGCAGGGAGAGAGAGAGAGAGAGAGAGAGAGAGAGAGAGAGAGAGACUCCCAUCCACUGGUUCACUUCCCAGAAGGCUGCAAUGGCCAGAGCUGUGCUGAUCAGAAGCCAGGAGCCAGGAGCUUCUUCUGGGUCUCCCAUCUUAGGGGUAGGAGCCCAGGGACUUGUCCACAGUUGGGAAUAACACUCGAGCUCUGACAGUGACGAGUAAUCACCCACAUGGAAGUUGGUAUCUAAGAACGUGGGUAGGCUCUUGCUGCUCAGCAUCUAGCAUCUGAUGGCAAACCCCACCUAAAAGCUCUCAAACUAGUCUUUCAUUGCCUCAAGGACCAGGUUGUUCAACCUAGUAGUUUUCAAGUUUUUGGUAUGAGUUUGAGUGGCCCUGAGGUCACCAGGGACUGCUUGUCUUCUCUCCUGGAACUCAGGAGUGACUUUCUCCAGAUGGCUUGAUCUGCCCCCAUAUUGUAGACACCACAGAGCCAAUUCUCACUGCACACUGACACGCUGAGUGAUGAGAGAGUCAGCCCUUCUCAAAGGACAAUUUCCUGCCACAGCCGGCAACAUGGUCUGUGUGAUCCUUUGACUCAGACUCUCUGCUAGAGGGUGAUGAGGUGUGAAGAUGACAGUUUGCAUAUGGUUUCCACCCACAGAUUCCUGAUCUUCAGCAGGACCAGUGCACGGUUUGUUGUCAGAGAGCUGGAAUCUCUCAAGCAUCCCUUUGAGAACAAUUGGUGUGUGGCUCCCAUUUGUGCAGUAGAGAUUGGAAAUGCCACCAAAGUUGCUUCAGAGGGUUGGGGGAAGAUAUUGGAUAGCUGCUCCAGAGACUCCAGAUUACAGGCUAUCUGACAAGCUGACAUUCAACAAAUCCUUCACAGAGCAAGGUAGGGCCAUCUAAUCUGACAUCUCUCUACUCGAAACACACAGUAUUUUCACUCACCUGCUAAUCAUCAUCAAGAAAUGCAAAUCCCUUACCAUUUAUCAGAGAGCCUGGUGAGAAGUGUCAGAUCUUAGAAACCAAGUUUGCCAGAAUUAGAAUCCCUUCAAGUCUCAUGGCUGCAACAGAGAGACUCAGAAGGAGACAGUGAGCUUCCUUAAGAAAUUUCAGCCGUCCUUGGGGGAGUUUGGGUUGGAACCCAAUCUUGCAACUCUCUGAAUAUCAGGAAGUUUUUUUCUUUAUGUGAAAGCUAAGAUCUACUGUGUCCCAUCCCAUCCCAUGAAGGACUCUGGGAGUUCAUUGAGUGGGGAGGGGGAAGCUGGGGAUGGGGUCUCUUCUUUAAGGUUCCACCACCGAUCACUUCAAUCCAGGGUCCACGGUUUCGCUGUCAUUGCUUCAAGAGGGACUGGUCACUUCUCUACUUAGGGCAGGUGGGAGAUGUGCACCUGGAGAUCUAGUUUGAAAACCUGCUUUGUGGUGGAGUAAAGAGGCUAGGACUGCCCACAGGGACCUCACACUUUCUUGCUUUAGGUUAAGGUUCCCCUUCUUUAUUCCACGGGAAGACCAAAAAGCACCGGCUCAGGAAGAGAAUCCCACCUACAGGACAAUGGCCUUGGUUACUUGUGCCCCGUCAGUGGAGUCCCCCAGCACAAACUGUGGGCUUGGUGGAUGGGGUGACUCCUUCCUGAAAGCAGGCUCUGAGCCUUCCUUUCUCAAUUCUCAAUUGGCUACAAUUUGAAUGGUUUGGGUGCAAGGAAGUUCGGUGGUGCAGAUAGGUUGACGGCUUGAAUCGGGUCAUUAAAAAGAAAUAUUGGGGGCCGGCGCCACGGCUCACUAGGCUAAUCCUCCACCUUGCGGUGCCGGCACACCAGGUUCUAGUCCCAGUCGGGCGCUGGAUUCUGUCCUGGUUGCUCCUCUUCCAGGCCAGCUCUCUGCUGUGGCCAGGGAGUGCAGUGGAGGAUGGCCCAAGUGCUUGGGCCCUGCACCCGCAUGGGAGACCAGGAGAAGUACCUGGCUCCUGCCAUCGGAUCAGCGCGGUGCGCCGGCCGCAGCGCGCCAGCCGUGGCAGCCAUUGAAGGGUGAACCAACGGCAAGGCAAGACCUUUCUCUCUGUCUCUCUCUCUCUCACUGUCCACUCUGCCUGUCAAAAAGAUAAAAAAAAAAAAAAAAGAAAAAGAAAUAUUGGGGCCGGUGCCGCAGCUCACUAGGCUAAUCUUCUGCCUGCAGUGCUGGUGCCCCAGGUUCUAGUCCCAGUUGGGGGGCCGGUUCUCUUCCAUUCCAGCUCUCUGCUGUGGCCUGGGAGUGCAGUGGAGGAUGGCCCAAGUGCUUGGGCCCUGCACCCGCAUGGGAGACCAGGAAGAAGCACCUGGCUCCUGGCUUCAGAUCGGUGCAGCGCCAGCCAUAGUGGCCAUUUGGGGGAUGAACCAACGGAAGGAAGGAAAACGUUUUCUCUCUGUCUCUCUCUCUUGCUGGGUCUUAGUCCACCCGAACAAGGAUGGACUGGGUCCGAAGAAAGGUAAGUGCGCCGCUCGCCCGUUCCCCAGCCUCCGGAUCCCGGAGACAAUCAGACGCAGCGGGGAGUCAAGUCAAGCAAGCAAGAACUCCAUUUAUUGGCACAUGGCAAAGCCUUUUAAAGCACAAGACCUCAUGAUUACUGAGGCAGGGAUUAAGGACCAACCAAUUACUUAAAAGGUCAUUUUACAGGGCGACUUUUUACAGGACCAGCCAUAUGUCUCUAAACUCAUCAUCAGUUGUCACCUCCCCUGAUGCUGCGCGGCCAAUCAGCUUUGGUGGUAAAUGACUUUGGGCACCACCCACCUUACUUCCUUAGGGAGCCAUCUUUGAAUUGCCUCCUGUGCCUAAUUUCCCCACACUCUCUCUCAUUGUCUAAUUCUGCCUUUGGAAAAAAAAAAAAAAGAAAAGAAAAGAAAUAUUGGAGGGAGGAACCUGGCCUAGUGGUCCCGACUCUGGUUACCAAGUCCAGCUUCCUAUGACCGCAGACCUGGGGAGGCAGCAGGUGAUGGCUCAAGUGAUUGGGAAAAUGACUCCCCAACUCCCAAUUUGGCAGGCAUUUGGGGAGCAAACCAGCAGAUGAAAGCUCACUCUUUCUCUCUCUGCCUCUCAAAUAAACAUUUUCUUUUAAAAUUUUAAAACA